rnacentral:lncRNA from 1 species
AAAAGCACAUUUUUAGAGGUGGGGGUUGGGUAGCCAAACAAGCUUUUUUACUUGUAAGAUAGAAAUAUAUCAAAGUAAAUGCAAUCUGCGUAGUUAAUGUUUGUGAGCUUUACAAUUUAAAACAGAAAAGCUGUAAUUUUUCUUUGCUGGCAAUCUGGAAACACUCUGGAGUUAAUUACAGCUGAUUCGGAGUGAACCACACAAACAAAGACCAGUCUAUGUCCAGACAAUUAUACUGCAUUAACCAGCUUAGAGCUUCCUGCUGAUGUUUCAGGGCUCUUCUGUUACACCCUCCUACCUUCCCAGCACGAGAGAAAAUGCUUCUGCAAGAAGGAAUUAAUGAAGAGAACUGCAAAAGAAUGUGUGACGACCUCUCCUGACACGGCAAAAACUUUCCACCCAUGUCACGACAAAGGGGAGAAGAAGUUUACAAGGAAAGGGGAAAUGUCUGAAAUGGAGAUUGCACAAUCCUGUCUUGAAGCAGAAGACUCAGCUAGAGCACAUCUGGAAACACCUGGCACUCCUCAAUAGAAUUCAAAUGCUAUUUUAAAAGAGUCCAUUUCUAAGAAGAUGUGGUUCGAACAUACAGAGCUACAUAAUAUGAGUAAAAUAGGACCUAACAGUAGUGUUCUCCAGCAUUGCUCUGCCUUUCCUUUUCUGGAUGUAACAACAUUACUAAGAAAGGAAGAAAAAGCAAAAAUCUGCUCUCGGGGAGAUUCCAGAAUGUUGGAAAGCCCCAAAUGGAAGUCUCUGCUUUGGUUACAGGACAUAAGGUUUAAUAAAUAAAAAGAUGCUCAUCUGGGAUGCUGCACCAAUUAUCAUGUACUAAAUAAGGUUACCUACUUCACUCUCCAGGUAGAAAUGUCUAUCAUAAGCAUGUGCCACAGAAGGUCUCUCAAGUAUCAUUAUUGGCUGUGUUGAAUUUUGUUUUUAGUUCUCUUUUAUAAGGUCUGUAGUCUUACUUUCAGUGAGGAAGUGUUUUCUCAGGUUCUCAAGAAAGUAACAAAAUGCCAGCAUUGUCAAGGUCACCAUUGCCACUGAAUUAUCUUACUGUCUGAUUAUUCCAUCUUCCUCUGCAUCAUAUUAGCCUGAUGACUACAUUCUAAUUAUUUAAAGCGUUAUGUAAAUCAAAGCAGUAAAUGUAAUUUCUAGUCUUACUAGAUAUCAUGUACAUUAGGUCGAAUAACUCUAGAAAUGUCGUCAUAAUCAUGUCAUGCCUAAUGAUGACCUACUCAGCCCCUGCCAACAUCAUUCAAUUACUCAUUUCAGUAUUGAUUUUUCUCAUGCCUCUCUUCGUGGCAUUUAAACAGCCCUCACAUCUCCCCUUUUACUGAGGUGUAAUGUUGUAUAAUGACAGAGAUGCUUUGCUUCCCAGAUUCAUAAUGUUACACUCUGUUUCAAAUCCUUUUGGAGACAAAUUGGGGAAUCAAUAUAUAAAUAAUGACACACUUAUUUUUAAUUAAAAUCACUGCUUUCACAGAAAUGGUAUAUUAAAAUUAUUUUUGCUAAAAAAAUUUUAAAUACCUAUGUACGAUAAAAAGACUGCCAAUCCUUGGGAUCAAGAAUAUAAUUUGCCCCAAAUAACUUUUCUGUAAAAGUAGAAUUCUUAAUGGAAAAUAGAUUAAUACAUAUAAUUUCAAGAUCUAACCUUAAAAAUGGAAAUAAUGUGUCCAUUUUUAAAAAUAAAUCAUAUUUACAUACACUGUGUUUAUGAGAGUUGUUUUGGAAUGAAACUUCUUUGCAUUUGAGAUCAAAUUCUUUUAUUCACAAGAAUUACAUUAUCUUUUUCAGCUGAAUGUUAUGUUAUACUCUUCCAAAAUCUAUUUUCCCUGCACUCAAGUAGCGGUAAAUAUUCUUUUUUUUUUCUGGAAAUUGAUAGUCUAAUUUUCUCCUGCCUCUCUUUGGCACACCCUCAUUUUGCAUGAGAUAUGCUCCUUAAUAAAAUUUCUACUCAAUAUUACAGAAACUUCCAGAAAUGGCAUCUAAAAUAUUACACUGGCCCGUUUAACUUCACCUUCACUAAUUGCAAUACAUUAUACAAAGAGCACUGUGGACAAAGGUGGAAUAUUUAACUAACUGGAUUUGGUUUCACAAACAGUAAUAAGACUUUUAAAAACAUUAUUAGAGCAUUUAUUUCAUCUCCUUUGCAAUAUAUUUUUCUUCCUUUUAAACUAGGCUUUCUAAAUUCUCAU